UACGAAGGGUGCAAGCGUUACUCGGAAUUACUGGGCGUAAAGCGUGCGUAGGUGGUUUGUUAAGUCUGAUGUGAAAGCCCUGGGCUCAACCUGGGAAUUGCAUUGGAUACUGGCAGGCUAGAGUGCGGUAGAGGGUAGUGGAAUUCCCGGUGUAGCAGUGAAAUGCGUAGAGAUCGGGAGGAGCACCAGUGGCGAAGGCGACUACCUGGACCAGCACUGACACUGAGGCACGAAAGCGUGGGGGAGCAAACAGG
rnacentral:rRNA from 1 species